GUGCGGCCUUCCCCAGCGGCUGUAGCAGGAGACCUGCGGCUGCAUCUCCCAGGGCCUUCCGGCGGGGCCGAGGCACACAAUACUGAGACCAGAAUAAAGCAGUGCAUUUACUACCUUGUGAAGAAUGUUCAGGUGUUCAGUGGGCUUGAUCCAGUCAGGUGAAGGUCUGAAGAGAAAAAAAGACCGUCCUCUUCCCAGAACAAGAGAAUCCUCCAACAGAUACCUUUGGACUGGACCUUGCACCAUCAGCUUUCCUGGGUUUCCAGCCUCCUGCCUCACACUCCAGCUUUUGGACUUGUUAGACUUAAUAAUAACAACACAAGCCAAUCCUUUUAAGGAAGUUUGUCUGGAGAAUCUUGACAAACACAAACAUCUACUGAGAGUUCCUGUCCAAGUUUUGCUCACACCCUAGCAAGAGGCUUCUGGCUUACCAGUUGGGAGUGUGAGGUUCUUUGCUUGUAAGACCUGAUCCACCAGCGGUACACCAGCUCUGGCCCAGGGCAAGACAGGGAAUUUCCCAAUCACUGAGUAGGCUGUAGCCACUCUCUCCAUUAGGCCUGACUUCACCAUGGGGAAGGGGAGACCCUUUCAAGGGUAUUCUUUCCUGGGGUACUCUCAGUCCUAGGACAUCAUAGCUCUCUUUCAUCCCUCUUAAAAGUUAAUACCAUUAUCAGUUAACAGUUUUUAUAUUAAAAUUAUCCCUGUUCAAGUUAAUGGUAUGGUUUCUGUAUCCUGACUGGAUAUUAGGAUACAGUAUUUACUGUCUUAUUUCUACUACUUUAUGUUUAAAGUUUUUCAUAAUAUUUAAACUGAAGUUUUGAUCAUUCAUUAAAUAUUUACACAGAACAGGACAAAGGAUGAUUUUCCUUUGUCUAGUUAUUGUAAGGUAGCGUCCAAGAUUUACCACCACAUCAUGAUUACAGAUGGUCACCAACUUAUGUUUUAGGAUUUUUUGACUUUAUGAUG
rnacentral:lncRNA from 1 species